UACGUAGGCAGCAAGCGUUGUUCGGAAUUACUGGGCGUAAAGCGUGCGCAGGCGGUUGUGUAAGACAGAUGUGAAAUCCCCGGGCUCAACCUGGGAACUGCAUUUGUGACUGCACAGCUGGAGUGCGGCAGAGGGGGAUGGAAUUCCGCGUGUAGCAGUGAAAUGCGUAGAUAUGCGGAGGAACACCGAUGGCGAAGGCAAUCCCCUGGGCCUGCACUGACGCUCAUGCACGAAGCGUGGGGAGCAAACAGG
rnacentral:rRNA from 1 species